GGAUUUGAUACGACUAAUGCAUGCACUACAUGCUGCUGCUGCUGCAUGCAAAUUUUGUGAACCUAACUAUUUUUGAAUCGAAGUAAAAGAUUUGCCCCACUCACUAAUUAAGAAGAUGAAGGAAUAGAUGGUUCAACAUUUGGCUGGACCCAUAGCUCGUUAGAUUGUUUUACAUAAUGUUAUUUUAGAUCACAUGAGUGGUAGGCGACUACCUUCUCCACAGGGGGACUUCCUGGUGGUGAUGUUGAGCAC
rnacentral:lncRNA from 1 species